UGAUGAUCGCACUGACUGAUCGACAGCUCUACGAGCAGCAGUAGAUAUGACAUGCGCAGCUGAUCAGCAUGCGCGUGUGUGAGAGCUAUGUGUAGCACUCAGCGAGAGAGCUACUGAGUAUACUCAGAUAGUGACGUACUCGCAGAUAGCACGCUACUCUGUGCAGCAGCGCGUAUACAGAGGUGCAGCGUAUCGAUUACUGGCGUAAGCGCGCGUAGCGCUAUAGUCAAUGUGAAUCUCGAGCUACUGGAAUGCAUCGAUACUGUAGCUAGAGUGUGGAGAUGAUGGUAGAAUUCCAGGUGUAGCGGUGAAUGCGUAGAGAUCUGGAGGAAUACCGAUGGCGAAGGCAGCCAUCUGGCCUAACACUGACGCUGAGGUGCGAAAGCAUGGGGAGCAAACAGGAUUAGAUACCCUGGUAGUCCAUGCCGUAAACGAUGUCUACUAGCCGUUGGGGCCUCUGAGGCUUUAGUGGCGCAGCUAACGCGAUAAGUAGACCGCCUGGGGAGUACGGUCGCAAGACUAAAACUCAAAUGAAUUGACGGGGGCCCGCACAAGCGGUGGAGCAUGUGGUUUAAUUCGAUGCAACGCGAAGAACCUUACCUGGCCUUGACAUAGUAAGAACUUUCCAGAGAUGGAUUGGUGCCUUCGGGAACUUACAUACAGGUGCUGCAUGGCUGUCGUCAGCUCGUGUCGUGAGAUGUUGGGUUAAGUCCCGCAACGAGCGCAACCCUUUUCCUUAUUUGCCAGCGAGUAAUGUCGGGAACUUUAAGGAUACUGCCAGUGACAAACUGGAGGAAGGCGGGGACGACGUCAAGUCAUCAUGGCCCUUACGGCCAGGGCUACACACGUGCUACAAUGGUCGGUACAAAGGGUUGCUACCUAGCGAUAGGAUGCUAAUCUCAAAGAGCCGAUCGUAGUCCGGAUUGGAGUCUGCAACUCGACUCCAUGAAGUCGGAAUCGCUAGUAAUCGCAGAUCAGAAUGCGCGACCGCACG
rnacentral:rRNA from 1 species